rnacentral:rRNA from 1 species
ACGAACGCUGGCGGCGUGCUUAACACCUGCAAGUCGAACGGUGAAGCGCCUUCCUUUUUGGUGGGUGUGGAUGAGUGGCGAACGGGUGAGUAACACGUGAGUAACCUGCCCCCUUCUUCUGGAUAACCGCAUGAAAGUGUGGCUAAUACGGGAUAUUCUGGGUCUGUCGCAUGAUGGGUCUGGGAAAGAUAUUGUUUCGGUGGGGGAUGGGCUCGCGGCCUAUCAGCUUGUUGGUGGGGUGAUGGCCUACCAAGGCGGUGACGGGUAGCCGGCCUGAGAGGGUGGACGGUCACACUGGGACUGAGGCACGGCCCAGACUCCUACGGGAGGCAGCAGUGGGGAAUAUUGCACAAUGGGCGCAAGCCUGAUGCAGCGACGCCGCGUGAGGGAUGGAGGCCUUCGGGUUGUGAACCUCUUUCGCCAGUGAAGCAGGCCUGCCUCGUUUGUGGGUGGGUUGACGGUAGCUGGAUAAGAAGCGCCGGCUAACUACGUG